GAAAUAAACCUGAUAGGUUGUUGCUGGUUCUCUUGGGAGCAUGUGCACGCCUUGUCAUCUUUAUAUCUCCACCUGUGCACCUUUUGUAGACCUGUAAGGUCUAUGUUGCUUCAUUUACACCAAUGUAUGUUGAUAGAAUGUCGUCCUAUAAAAUAUAUACAACUUUCAGCAACGGAUCUCUUGGCUCU
rnacentral:misc_RNA from 1 species